CAGAUAGCAGCUGACUCUGGGCCGGAUCCGCCUCCAAACCGGCAGAUCCGUGUAACAGUCACCCCCGUUUUACUGCCCCAUUCCAGAUACGGCCCGCAUGUAGUCUGUGUACAUCGGGAGUAGGCGUGAACAUCCAUCAGUCGGCGGAAUCAUAAUAGUUCUGGCCCGGACUCGUCGGAACGAGCGCGCGAAUUGUUUCCUUUUUUUUUUUUUUUAACCGGUUCAUUCCAGAUCAGAAGUCAGUCGGCGGAAUCGUUGUUGUUCUGGCCCGGGGCCGUUGGAACGAGCGCGUGAACUGUUGGUCAUUUGGAUCUUCGGACUGCAAGCUCCGUGGAAAGUUUAUAACGAUAUUUUCUUCACCCCUGGCUGCGAGAGCCCCGGAUUAAUAGGAGGCUGUACGGAAGAACCAAGUUGCUAGCAGCGCAUCGGACAACGAGAUUAACCAGCACGCCAUCCGCUGGUUCAACCCGGCCUCUGACCGUGGAGGUGGCCGCAAAGAACGUGCCAUGGCCAGAGAUGCAUUAACCAUGGAAUGAACGCAUCAGCCAUCCCACACUCUUCCAUGAUGGUUUGUUGGACGUUAUGUGACGGUUGUUCCAACAGUUGUUCAAGACAGAAAUUAUCUGUAGAAAUGUGUUUAUUAGACUGAUUUUUAGUUUGGCAAUUAUCUACUUUGUUUUAAGUUUCUGUCCUGUCUUUUUUAUUUUAGACAUUUUAAAAUAAAAUUUUAAAAUGUGUAUUUUAAA